CUACUGAUUCGGUAGUAGAUACACUAAAAAUGGAAGAUACAUAGAAGACUAGCGCGGCCCCUAGACUAGGAUGAUCCAAAAAAUUGUGAUGCUUAAAUACGCAAA